ensembl:snoRNA SNORD110 small nucleolar RNA, C/D box 110
UUGCAGUGAUGACUUGAGUCUGUCAAUCCCCUGAGUGAGUUUAAUCACUGAUGUCUCCAUGUCUCUGAGCAA